rnacentral:lncRNA from 1 species
GGAGCUGUUAUUUUGCCUUCUUAUUUAGAACUCCCCUUCUCCUCAUUAGGAUACGGUCCAUAAGAACCUGAGUGACCUUCAUCUUCAGCAUUCCAGAGAGCUCUGUCCUCUUGCUGUAUACAGAUUUUCUGGCUGGGGAAGAAAAACUUCUAUUCCUAAUGGAUGUUAAGUUACUUGUGUGCACACUGGAUUUUCCUCCUGAGCGUCAGCUCCACACCCUGGCAGUGAAGAGCACCUUCCUGAAUCUUUGCAGUCAUCCUAUAGCAUGUUUUUUACUCAGAUGGGUCAUAAUGACUACUGCUGAUGCUGUUUCUGUGUCGGUUUUUGUUAGUGGUGAAGAUAAUGAAGUUGCUGGGACCCAGAGAAAAGUGAUUUUCUCCGGGUCGCACAGCUUGUUAGAGACAGUCAUUAGAAAACGAGUUUUCCGACUACGUAUUAAAUUCUUUCCACAGCCGCUAAUCUAUUGCUUAAAUUCUCCCUGUUGCAACCUUUUCCUCUUCCUGUUUUUAAAAAUGUAUUUUUCUAUUUAAUCAAUUCGGUUAUCUUCUGGAACCGAUUAAGGAAGUAGCCAUUGGGAGUCUAAAACGAAAGGGAAGACCUCCCUUUACAAAAAUGGCAGGCUGUGCUUGCCCUCUACCAAGAUGGAGGCUGGGCAGGCGGGGCAGUCCAGAGCACUCACAUGACAUUUAUGGUCCCGCCCCUCCCCCAACUGGUUUCCCCCACCCGCCUCCGAUCUUGAUUCCGGAUUGGUCCGGUUCCAGCACCUCCAGCCGGCCUCGUUGUGGGGUCGGCCACGGGCUCUCGCCACUUCCGGUGGGGAGGGGCGGUUGGGGUGGAAGGCUGAGUGAACGGCUCCGGGGGAAAGAGCGAGCGGGAUGCGCUUCGAGGUGGUAGCGGUGCUGGAACCCCGGACUGCUGCUCAGCGGCCGCCGCGGCGGCAUCUCCCUUAACCGGACAGCGAGCUGAACGCCACGGCCACAGAGCUCUCUUCCUCAGCUCCGUGUCCUCUGGACGCCCCGCAGGGACCCCGUUCGGGCCUGCCCGCCCCUCCCUCAAGAGGCUGGACUUGAGCUUUCCCAGGCCGCUCCGCUCGUGAGCCUGUGGGCCGCGGAGCCUUGGCCGCAGCUGGCCGCUGCUGCUUCGGAAAGGGAGAGGGCACUUGCUGCUUGAAGCUAGCCGGAUAGGACCGGUCUCGGCGGGGAGUAGCCCGGCAGCCAGGCCCCUUGCACGGGGCAGGGCCAGCACAAGGGCCAGCACAAGGGCUAGGCUAGUUAGAAAGCCGCAGGGGCAGGAUUGGGGGCCGUUUUUGGCCUGCGGAACCCCCCCCCCCCAACCCUCACCUGGCCGUGGUCUUCGACUUUUGCUAGGGUGGGGGCCGCAUUAUUGAUGUUUCCCGGUGAUUUUUAAGUCUAACUUCGGGGUCUGGGGAGGGCAUAUGGGUUUUGAUGGAUUUUGGGGGGAUUCCAGUGGUCUCCCAAUGUGCCAGGAUGUGGGAUUGAGGAGGGCGUCCUUAUUUUAGAGGGCCUGGGG